UACGUAGGGUGCGAGCGUUAAUCGGAAUUACUGGGCGUAAAGCGUGCGCAGGCGGUUUGCUAAGACCGAUGUGAAAUCCCCGGGCUUAACCUGGGAACUGCAUUGGUGACUGGCAGGCUAGAGUAUGGCAGAGGGGGGUGGAAUUCCGCGUGUAGCAGUGAAAUGCGUAGAGAUGCGGAGGAACACCGAUGGCGAAGGCAGCCCCCUGGGCUAACACUGACGCUCAGGCACGAAAGCGUGGGGAGCAAACAGG
rnacentral:rRNA from 1 species